rnacentral:rRNA from 1 species
GACGAACGCUGGCGGCGUGCUUAACACAUGCAAGUCGAACGGAAAGACCCUGCUUUUGUGGGGUGCUCGAGUGGCGAACGGGUGAGUAACACGUGAGUAACCUGCCCUUGACUUUGGGGUAACUUCAGGAAACUGGGGCUAAUACCGGAUAGGAUCUCCUGCUGCAUGGUGGGGGUUGGAAAGUUUCGGCUGUUGGGGAUGGACUCGCGGCUUAUCAGCUUGUUGGUGGGGUAGGGGCUGACCAAGGCUUUGACGGGUAGCCGGCCUGAGAGGGUGACCGGCGACAUUGGGACUGAGAUACGGCGCAGACGGCAACGGGAGGCAGUAGGGGGGAACAUUGCACAAUGGGCGGGAGCCGGAGACAGCAGCGCUGCGUGCGUGAUGACGGCCUUCGGGUUAAGAACCGCUUUCGCCUGUGACGAAGCGGGAGUGACGGUACUGGGUAAAGAAGCACCGGCUAACUACGUG